AGAUGCACAGAGACAGUUUGUCACGCUCAUGCAAAGAGGUUUAAAAAUAAACUGAUGGAUGCUAAAGUUGAGGAACACAUGUUAAAGAUGAACUCAAUAUCAAUGAUAGCAGAGCUUGCCAGAGAGCUACCCAGGGCAUCAGAGAAACCAGAGAAAAUAUUUGACCAGUUGUUUGAACCUUUACUUGGAAAGAAUGUCAUGAGAUGAUAAAAAUUCUUGCUAGAAAAACUCUGUAACAAAGUGAUAUUCAGGACAACGCAUUCCUAGAACACUCUAUUGUGACUUAUUUUAGCUAGUCAGAUUAGUUUGAAAGGCCGUCAUAUAGAUAUGACGUUAUAGUUGAAUCUGUUAGCCGGAAAUAAAAGUUUUACAUCUGAUAAAGACCAAGUGAAAUUGUCAGCUUCAUUGGUACUUUAGAUUUAAAAUAUCCAAAUAGUCAGCAGCAAAGUAGCACAGUACAAGAAUGAAUCAAGAGGUAGCAAGUUUUAUUCCUAGUGAUGAUUUACAUUGGACACUGAGGUAAUUUGACCUCAGCAUCUUAGUCAUAUAGAGCUGCUGAAAAUAAGUCAGUAUUUGUACAAAAUCCAGGAACGCUGACUAGGUUAACUGAUUGCUACUGCUAAACUGAAAUAUAGUUGAAGAACAGCAUUAACCUAAACAAAUAGAAUCAUUAAUUCAGCUUUUGAUAAUCUUGUGGCAAGGUGAAUCUAAGAUGGGUAAAGUACUGGGUAGGUCUGUUGCUGCAACAUUAGAGGACAGUUGCUUAAACUGAAUAGGUAAAAAAAAACAAAGAGAAAGAAAGAGAUCAUUCUAAGACGACUUAUAAACCUGAUGGCAUGAUGAACUGUAUUCGCCCUUGGUGAGAAUAAUGGUUAAGUUUUGUGUGAUGUUCAUAUAUUUUUGCCUUCAAGGACAAAGGGGAAAUGGCAAAAGUCAUUGUAUGAUAGUAGUAGUAAUUAAGAAUUAUUUAAAAUUUACCAGACAAAAUGUCCCAAACAAAUUCUGUGAUACUGUAUAUUUUCUGUGAUAUUUUCAGUUAUGUAUUGUUCUAUAUAAUACUGUCCUUAAACAUGCUUCAUACAUUGAAAGAUGAUGGUCAGUACUGUCUGGAUUUAAAUUGAUGGUUGCCAUUUGAAAUAAAUUGUUACGUUUAAAUGUA